rnacentral:rRNA from 1 species
GAUGAACGCUGGCGGCGUGCCUAAUACAUGCAAGUCGAGCGAACGGACGAGGAGCUUGCUUCUCUGACGUUAGCGGCGGACGGGUGAGUAACACGUGGAUAACCUACCUAUAAGACUGGGAUAACUUCGGGAAACCGGAGCUCAUACCGGAUAAUAUAUUGAACCGCAUGGUUCAAUAGUGAACGACGGUUUUGCUGUCCCUUAUAGAUGGAUCCGCGCCGCAUUAGCUAGUUGGUAAGGUAACGGCUUACCAAGGCAACGAUGCGUAGCCGACCUGAGAGGGUGAUCGGCCACACUGGAACUGAGACACGGUCCAGACUCCUACGGGAGGCAGCAGUAGGGAAUCUUCCGCAAUGGGCGAAAGCCUGACGGAGCAACGCCGCGUGAGUGAUGAAGGUCUUCGGAUCGUAAAACUCUGUUAUUAGGGAAGAACAAAUGUGUAAGUAACUAUGCACGUCUUGACGGUACCUAAUCAGAAAGCCACGGCUAACUACGUG